GCAUUUUUGAAAACAGGGUUCUUCCCCUCUCUCUCUCUCUCUCUCUCUCUUACACACACACACAUAAACACACAGAACCAAUCACCACCAAACCUCACCUCACUGCAGUCAUUCACCACCGUUGUUUACCGUAAGACGCACAUCGCCACCACACCACCGCAAAUCACAUUGCCACCGCUGCAAUACCAACAGGUUUUGUGUAUGAUACACUGAACAUGCUGAAUUUUGAUAUUACAAAAAAAUGUCUUGUCAAAGAGGGUUAGUGUCCAAUAAUUGCCAAAACUUAGAUUCAUGAAGCACUGCAACGAGCUAUAAUUGAUAGCAAUUCACAAGUGGGUAUAAUAUUUCACACAAUGGAUGUUGUGGAACCACCUCCAACAUACUUCAGAACCAACCACUUUACAAAUGCAUUUUAGGACAUUGUUGAUGCAUAUGGAUUGGUUUGGUUUUGAAGAAGUUGUUUGAAGAUGGUAUCGUGAAGCGCGAGGAUUUGUUUAUUACCUCCAAACUUUGAUUGAUGAUGUUGGCAUGGAUACAGUGAUGUUUUUGGGCCAAAUCGAUGAUGUUUGCAUGGGCGCAAUUUACAUUAUAUUUUUUGUUUAUGGAAAGCAUGUACACUUGAUAUGUUUUGUUAUUAAGUUUUUUUUAAUUUGAA